UAUUUUUUUAUUUGCAGCAGCCCCAGUCAUUUUUAUUUCCAGCCAGCCAUUCCGAAUCCAAUUUUUGUUGUUCUCAGGCCAAUUUAAUUCCCAGAGAGAAAAAAACAUUUCAGCCAGCCCACUCCCUAUUCCCAGUCCAAAACACGUCACGCCUCAAGGACAAUCGAGCCGAUAAUGUCCGUCCACUUCCCCUUUCCUCUUUCAGAAUAGGUUAAAAACUCAGAAAAGUAGGUCUGGUCUCCCUUAAUUGGUGAAAGGUUUUGAAUUUCGAAUUGAGCCCUCUCAUCCUUUUUUUUUUGGAACCCUAGAUUUUCUUUUUUAUAUAUGCCAACUAAUUAGUCAUUGUGAGGGGAGGAUAUUUAUUUUGUUGGGUUAUUACCUAGCAAGAAAAUACAAAGAAAGCUUGAGCAAAAAUACUCUAAAUACAGACUAAAUACUUUUCGAAAAGCAGAGAAUACCAUAUCUUCAGUAUUUGAGUUACAUUUUGUGCUUCAAUCUUUGAUCGUAGUUCGUGGUUGAGUUCUCGUUGUAGGAAGAUAUUUUCCUCACUCUCUCCAUCCCUGUUUGCUGCAAAAACAAGUUUCUCAGCACCCAGAUCACGCAUAAAUCGAUCUUCGAUAUUUAGUUCAGCAGAUUCAGUGCAGGGUUAGCUUGGGAUCACUUGUGGCCCUAGGUUCCUUGUCCGCAUCUUGGGGUAGCUUGAGGCGUGACAGUAAGCAGAACACGACGAAAGUGACAAACUGGACAAGUAACCAGAAGGAAAAAAUGGAAUGCUUAAAGAUGGAGUUGUAGACAAAGAAAAUUAAUGUUCAUCGAUAUGGUUUUUUGAACAAUUCAAAAAUACAUCCAGCAAGCAUGGAAAAAUAUGUGUUGUAUUAGAUACAAAUUAAAGUAUUAUGAAUAGUGUCAGCAUUUUAUUUUCAAAUGUAUCUCAUUGCACAUGCAUGUGACAUCUUUUGAAGAAUGUCUGUACAUACAUCAGGAGGAGUAGAACAACCCUAUAUUCUACAUUAUGACUAAGACUUAUCGAAAGAAGGAUUUUGAUCAAUUAAUGGCUAAGGUGGAAAUGGUUGAUCAUAGAGUUAAGGAGUACCUAGAGGGUGCUAGGUAUGGGAAGUGGUCGAGAGUUCAUUUAACAGUAAAUAGAGGCAGAAUGAUGACUUCGAACAUCGCAGAAUGUAUCAAUAACUGCCUCGACAGUUCUCUAUAUUAAUAUUUUUUAGAGGCUAGAAUUCUUUUUUGUUCUUGAAACAGUCAAAACAGAGAAAUAUCCUCACAUAUAAAGGAUACAUUGAAAAGAAUAUUUAAGGAAAUAUUUAUUGUAAAUUCACAUAAAGGUUGAAAGAUGCGGGUAUUCUAAGGAUACAUACAUUACUAUAUAUUUUAUGCAUUUGAUAUGGUGUGUCAUUUUGUUGUUUUACCAACAUUACUUUGAAAAAAUUGAAAAU